rnacentral:rRNA from 1 species
GGCGCAGGCGGCCUGGUAAGUCGAAUGUGAAAUCUCCCGGCUUAACUGGGAGGGGUCAUUCGAUACUAUCGAGCUAGAGUGCAACAGGGGAAGGUGGAAUUCCCGGUGUAGUGGUGAAAUGCGUAGAUAUCGGGAGGAACACCAGUGGCGAAGGCGGCCUUCUGGGUUGUUACUGACGCUUAAGCCCGAAAGCGUGGGGAGCAAACAGGAUCAGAUACCCUGGUAGUCCACGCUGUAAACUAUGGACACUGGGUAUGGGGAGUAUCGACCCUCUCCGUGCCGAAGUUAACGCGUUAAGUGUCCGUCUGGGAACUACGGCCGCAAGGCUAAA